CAAAAAUGCUAAAAAUCCCAGCGUGGGACUAUAAUGAGGCACAAGCUCAACCCACUCACCUGUGUCUUGAUUAUAUCCGCUAGCUGUUGUGCUCUCGAACAUGGACAGAAGCCCAGCUGUUAUCACAAAGCAGAGAGAGAAACUUGCUGGUCCCAAAACUUUAAUGCUGCAGUCCAGCUGUACCAUCAUGUCAAACUGCACAGAGGAGAAGACAGCUCACUCCUGAAUUUAAAAACCCAACCAACACAUAACUAG
rnacentral:lncRNA from 1 species